GGAAGUUUGUAUCCUGGCGUCAGGAUGAACGCUGGCGGCGUGCUUAACACAUGCAAGUCGAGCGAAGCAGUUAAGAAGAUUCUUCGGAUGAUUCUUAACUGACUGAGCGGCGGACGGGUGAGUAACGCGUGGGUGACCUGCCCCAUACCGGGGGAUAACAGCUGGAAACGGCUGCUAAUACCGCAUAAGCGCACAGAGCUGCAUGGCUCGGUGUGAAAAACUCCGGUGGUAUGGGAUGGGCCCGCGUCUGAUUAGGCAGUUGGCGGGGUAACGGCCCACCAAACCGACGAUCAGUAGCCGGCCUGAGAGGGCGAUCGGCCACAUUGGGACUGAGACACGGCCCAAACUCCUACGGGAGGCAGCAGUGGGGAAUAUUGCACAAUGGGGGAAACCCUGAUGCAGCGACGCCGCGUGAGCGAAGAAGUAUUUCGGUAUGUAAAGCUCUAUCAGCAGGGAAGAUAAUGACGGUACCUGACUAAGAAGCCCCGGCGAACUACGUG
rnacentral:rRNA from 1 species